rnacentral:sRNA from 1 species
AUGGCUGUCGUCAGCUCGUGUCGUGAGAUGUUGGGUUAAGUCCCGCAACGAGCGCAACCCCCGUCGCAUGUUGCCAGCAUUUAGUUGGGGACUCAUGCGAGACUGCCGGUGACAAACCGGAGGAAGGUGGGGAUGACGUCAAGUCCUCAUGCCCCUUAUGUUCAGGGCUACACACGUGCUACAUUGGCGCAUACAGAGGGCUGCGAUACCGCGAGGUGGAGCGAAUCCCUUAAAGUGCGUCUCGGUUCGGAUUGCAGGCUGAAAUUCGCCUGCAUGAAGGCGGAGUUGCUAGUAAUCGCGGAUCAGCAUUGCCGCGGUGAAUACGUUCCCGGGCCUUGUACACACCGCUCGUCACACCACGGGAGUGAGCAACACCCGAAGCCGGUGGCCUAACCCGCAAGGGAGGGAGCCGUCGAAGGUGGGGCUCGUGACUGGGGUGAAGUCGUAACAAGGUAGCCGUAGCGGAAGCUGCGGCUGGAUCACCUCCUUUCUAGGGAGCACAUAACAGUGCCCCGAUCCAGGAGGCCGCCUGUACCCCGUUAGGGGUAUCGCAGACAGCCCCGCGCGGUCGCCAGGUCCUUGAGGCCAACGGCGAUGUCCAAGCGGAUCGGGCCUAGCAUGUCGACCGAACCUGGCUGGAAGGCCGUGUGCCAGCGGCUCCUGCACUACUUCGGGAGCUCGUCGGAACACGACCAUCAACUACCCCAGCAUGCUGUUGAGUUUUGAGAGACCGGCGUCCGCCGGUCAUUGCGUGGACACGCCAGAUAUGGCGCGACCGAAAUACGCGAUACCGGCCGGCGUUAUACGCCUCUCCACGGUCCUUGAAAACUGCACAAUGCCACAUCAGCCGCCAUCGAUAAGCGGCGGCUGAAAAACGGGUAUCACCGGGCCCUGCAAGACCUAUAUGCUCAGCAAUGGGCGUCGGGUCGCGUUGGGCCAGAUCACCGUCAAGAUAGUAAGGGCGCAUGGUGGAUGCCUUGGCACCAAGAGUCGAUGAAGGGCGUGAACGGCUGCGAUAAGCCACGGUUAGGCGCUGAAUAGCCUUUGACCCGUGGAUGCCCGAAUGGGGAAACCCGG